UACAGAGGUCUCAAGCGUUGUUCGGAUUCAUUGGGCGUAAAGGGUGCGUAGGCGGCGCGGUAAGUCGGGGUGUGAAAUCUUGGAGCUUAACUCCGAAACUGCAUUCGAUACUGCCGUGCUUGAGGACUGGAGAGGAGACUGGAAUUUACGGUGUAGCGGUGAAAUGCGUAGAUAUCGUAAGGAAGACCAGUGGCGAAGGCGGGUCUCUGGACA
rnacentral:rRNA from 1 species